AAAGAUUUAGAGUAAUUCUAAAUUGGUGAAGAAAGGUGUCUCUUCCGAUGAAGGUUCAGACUUUGCUUAAUUACUCGACGUGGGCGUCGACAGAUUGUCUGAUGCUUCUUCGUCGCCUCCGAUCGGUUAUGCUAUCACUCCUCCUCCGUGGCAGGUCAUAAUGCAAGAUUAACGGAAAUAAGUUGGUUAACAGCCUACAUCUCUUACGGAAUCGAACAGGUUAAGUGGGUUAUUUAAAAAUCUCUUUCAACUUGGAGGCUGCCUCUUUCUCAUCUCUAUGUUGUUGUCAAGUCGGUUUCCGAAAAUGGGGUUCAAUCGACCAAACCUAUCAUUAAAAUUAAUGGUAUUGUAAUAUUGUUGAAGGUAAUAAACCUUACAUAUCUCUAUUAUUUUGCUUUUACUUAAAUCCAUUGGAAAUCGAAUUUGAACACCAAAUAUACAGUCAUGGCUCUAUUUUUAUGAUUAAAAAAGAAGAAACAGAUUCAUGAGUGAUAGUGUUGACAGAGAAGAGAAUUUGGCAGCAGUGGGUAUGAUUAAAAUGUGUUUUCUUAUCCUAUAUUCUUUUCAGUGCUCAGGUUUUUUGCUUCACAUUCUUCCUCUCUUGAAAUAGAGUUAGUUCAGAAGAACAAAUUUGGGAAUUCAUCAACACGAUUGACAAGGGUUUUAAGUUGAAUUAUCUUCCAAAAGAGGUCAUAUAUCAACUAUAUUCAUCCAAUAAGGCGUACAAUGAGAGCAUAUAACAACAGUUCUUCUGUUUUUCUUGUUUCUCCCGAUGAGAUAAGUGUUUCAAGAGAUAGAAAACAAAAAAAAUUCUUAGCAGGCGAAGACACAAGGAUUUAGUUGGAAAUGUGGUGGCUUAUUUUAAGAUAUAGAGUUGAGAAUAAAUAUAUAUCACCGGAAUCCCUGAAAUGGAAGCUAAAGUUAUUAUAUUUCAUCUCUGGAGUUCUCUGCAAUGUACUCUAUAUUCGUGUCGUUGGAAGGAGCAAGACCUUGGAGUAAAUCAGGGAUUCAGGCCUUAUGCUCUUUACAUAUUGCACUUGAGAUGGCGAAGAAUAUUCUUCAGCAUUGUUCUAAGUGUAGUAAACUUUAGUUGAAAUUCUUUAAGACGGCAUGAAGGAGCACUACUUGCAUAUGAAUGUCCUAGCGAGUAUUGAAAGCUAUACAUGAAGCUAUAUUAUAUACUCAUGGGUUAAUGUCCCAUGCUUUUCUGUUUCAGUCUCGCCCACUCAAAGCUAUCAUUAUCUUCAAUGAUCCGGAGUCAGAGCUGUCCUAUCAUUAGUCUUAUAUGAGAAGGAAGUCCUCCUUCUCGCUUGGUGCGAAUCACUUAAUCGAGAUCUUUAUGUCUCUUUCGUACUACCUACAAAACAAAACAGUUACAAAAAUGUCUUGAUCCUGAUCGUUGGGGGGGACUGGUCUCCUACUACAAUAAUCUAAUUGUUGGACGUCAAUAGGUUUUGCCAAUUACUCUGAUUAUCAACCUUUGUCAAAAAUAAGUAUCUUGGACUAGAAAUGUGUUGAAUCUGUAUAUGAGGUAUUCGUUGACAAUAUAUACAUUAUCAAUGUUGGUUUCAGGUUUAGAAUUUGCAAAAUGAAAAGUGAAAAC